AUUGAACGCUGGCGGCAUGCUUUACACAUGCAAGUCGAACGGUAACAGGCCGCAAGGUGCUGACGAGUGGCGAACGGGUGAGUAAUGCAUCGGAACGUGCCCAGUCGUGGGGGAUAACCCGGCGAAAGCCGGGCUAAUACCGCAUACGACCUAAGGGUGAAAGCGGGGGACCGUAAGGCCUCGCGCUAUUGGAGCGGCCGAUGUCUGAUUAGCUAGUUGGCGGGGUAAAAGCCCACCAAGGCGACGAUCAGUAGCUGGUCUGAGAGGACGACCAGCCACACUGGGACUGAGACACGGCCCAGACUCCUCCGGGAGGCAGCAGUGGGGAAUUUUGGACAAUGGGCGCAAGCCUGAUCCAGCCAUGCCGCGUGCGGGAAGAAGGCCUUCGGGUUGUAAACCGCUUUUGGCAGGAACGAAACGGCGCAAGCCAAUACCUUGCGCUAAUGACGGUACCUGCAGAAUAAGCACCGACUAACUACGUGCCAGCCGCCGCAGUAAUAC
rnacentral:rRNA from 1 species